GAUGAACGCUAGCGGGAGGCCUAACACAUGCAAGCCGAGCGGUAGAAUCUUUUCGGAGAUUUGAGAGCGGCGUACGGGUGAGGAACACGUGUGCAACCUGCCCUUAUCUGGGAGAUAGCCUUUCGAAAGGAAGAUUAAUAUCCCAUAAUAUAUUGAGUGGCACCACUUAAUAUUGAAAGCUCCGGCGGAUAGAGAUGGGCACGCGCAAGAUUAGAUAGUUGGUGAGGUAACGGCUCACCAAGUCUACGAUCUUUAGGGGGCCUGAGAGGGUGAUCCCCCACACUGGUACUGAGACACGGACCAGACUCCUACGGGAGGCAGCAGUGAGGAAUAUUGGACAAUGGGUGCAAGCCUGAUCCAGCCAUCCCGCGUGAAGGAUUAAGGUCCUAUGGAUUGUAAACUUCUUUUAUACAGGGAUAAACCUCUCCUCGUGAGGAGAGCUGAAGGUACUGUAUGAAUAAGCACCGGCUAACUCCGUGCCAGCCGCCGCGGUAAAAC
rnacentral:rRNA from 1 species